UACGUAGGGGGCAAGCGUUGUCCGGAAUCAUUGGGCGUAAAGCGCGUGUAGGCGGUCCGGUAAGUCCGCUGUGAAAGUCGGGGGCUCAACCCUCGGAUGCCGGUGGAUACUGUCGGGCUUGAGUACGGAAGAGGCGAGUGGAAUUCCUGGUGUAGCGGUGAAAUGCGCAUAUCAGGAGGAACACCAAUUGCGAAGGCAGCUCGCUGGGACGUUACUGACGCUGAGACGCGAAAGCGUGGGGAGCAAACAGG
rnacentral:rRNA from 1 species